rnacentral:rRNA from 1 species
AUUGAACGCUGGCGGCAUGCUUUACACAUGCAAGUCGAACGGCAGCACGGGCUUCGGCCUGGUGGCGAGUGGCGAACGGGUGAGUAAUAUAUCGGAACGUACCCAAGAGUGGGGGAUAACGUAGCGAAAGUUACGCUAAUACCGCAUACGAUCUAAGGAUGAAAGCGGGGGAUCGCAAGACCUCGUGCUCCUGGAGCGGCCGAUAUCUGAUUAGCUAGUUGGUGAGGUAAAGGCUCACCAAGGCGACGAUCAGUUGCUGGUCUGAGAGGACGACCAGCCACACUGGAACUGAGACACGGUCCAGACUCCUACGGGAGGCAGCAGUGGGGAAUUUUGGACAAUGGGCGCAAGCCUGAUCCAGCAAUGCCGCGUGAGUGAAGAAGGCCUUCGGGUUGUAAAGCUCUUUUGUCAGGGAAGAAACGGUAGGGGCUAAUAUCCCUUGCUAAUGACGGUACCUGAAGAAUAAGCACCGGCUAACUACGUGCCAGCAGCCGCCGCGGUAA